rnacentral:lncRNA from 1 species
AGGCCUCAGGCCUGGUUGGCACGGAUUUGGCAAACUACGGCUGGUGACUUAUAUCCCACCCAAGGUGAUGGGCAAAACUAACUAACUAGUUAACCAACCAACCGCAGAGCCAGAGCACAGUGGGGGAGGACAGUGUCCUCACGCAACAAAAUUUGUCAUGAAUAUUACUUUCAGCAAAUAACCAGUUGGUGACGCUGUAAACAUAGAUACAAUGAUGUGUUUGUCCUCAGAAUCUCUGCAUUCUCAGUCCGCUGCUCUGGUGACGGUUACCGUGGUAGCAGGCUGAGCAGGGGGGCCCAGACCUCCCUUUCCCCCAGCAACAGUCCCAACUCCUCAUGGUGAUACAGUGAUAAUGAACUUCGCAGGAGCUGGAAUGUAUUCUAGCAGCAGUGGACAAUUCAAGACACCGAGCGAUGCGCCUCUCACCUUCAAACCUGCUGCAGCCGCCGGGCCGCUUGGGUCCACGGCCUGAAUGUGACACGGUUUGUCGCCCCUCACCACAAAGCCCCAGCCCACCGCGUCGCCCACAAUCUGCAAAAUGAGAACCAGGGGCUGAAUCUAAUGUUUUUUUACGCAGGAUGUGUGUGUUGGGACUCAGGGCUGAUUUUGGGAACAGGAACCUACAGUGAAGGUCUUCUUUAUGUAAGGGCUUCCAGGCCUCUGGAGCUCCUCUGCUGUCACUGGUUUCUUCAAGACUGCAAGUGGAAGGACUCAGGUUAGCACCACCUUCAAGCUGGUAACUGCCUGACAGGU